rnacentral:tmRNA from 1 species
GGGGGUGUUCCGGUUUCGACGGGGUGUAGGACGUCGUACGGUGCAUGUCGAGGUCUAGUCACCUCGUAAAACAGCUAGACACAAAUAAACGCCAACAACGAGCGUUACGCUCUCGCCGCCUAAGGGCCGCGAGCGAUGCACUGAAUUGUCUCUGGUUCAGGUCGGGUAAUACCGACGGCAUCGUCAUUUACAGAGUCUAGGAAGGGUCGGAGUCGUGACGGCCUUUCCGAAAUCAAGCGACUGGUUGCCGAUAGGCUUGUUCAAGAGCAGGAUCGUCAAUAAGAACUCAAAAUACUUGAACUAAACAUGUAGAUCCGACGAAAAAAUCAUUUCGGACGCGGGUUCAAUUCCCGCCACCUCCACCA